rnacentral:rRNA from 1 species
AAUAUUGGUCAAUGGGCGAGAGCCUGAACCAGCCAAAUCGCGUGAAGGAAGACUGCCCUACGGGUUGUAAACUUCUUUUAUUGGGGAAUAAAAAAGGGCACGAGUUCCCUAUUGUGUGUACCCUAUGACUAAGCAUCGGCUAACUCCGUGCCAUCCGCCGCGGUAAUACGGAGGAUGCGAGCGUUACCCGGAUUUAUUGGGGUUAAAGGGUGCGCAGGCGGGAACUUAAGACAGCGGUGAAAUCUCGACGCUUAACGUCGAAACUGCCGUUGAAACUGGGUUUCUUGAGUAUAGAUGAAGUAGGCGGAAUUCGUUGUGUAGCGGUGACAUGCAUAGAUAUAACGAGGAACUCCGAUUGCGUAGGCAGCUUACUAAACUAUAACUGACGCUCAUGCACGGAAGCGUGGGGAUCAAACAGG